rnacentral:rRNA from 1 species
GUUUGAUCAUGGCUCAGAUUGAACGCUGGCGGCAGGCUUAACACAUGCAAGUCGAGCGGGGGAAGGUAGCUUGCUACUGGACCUAGCGGCGGACGGGUGAGUAAUGCUUAGGAAUCUGCCUAUUAGUGGGGGACAACAUCUCGAAAGGGAUGCUAAUACCGCAUACGUCCUACGGGAGAAAGCAGGGGAUCUUCGGACCUUGCGCUAAUAGAUGAGCCUAAGUCGGAUUAGCUAGUUGGUGGGGUAAAGGCCUACCAAGGCGACGAUCUGUAGCGGGUCUGAGAGGAUGAUCCGCCACACUGGGACUGAGACACGGCCCAGACUCCUACGGGAGGCAGCAGUGGGGAAUAUUGGACAAUGGGGGGAACCCUGAUCCAGCCAUGCCGCGUGUGUGAAGAAGGCCUUAUGGUUGUAAAGCACUUUAAGCGAGGAGGAGGCUACUUUAGUUAAUACCUAGAGAUAGUGGACGUUACUCGCAGAAUAAGCACCGGCUAACUCUGUGCCAGCAGCCGCGGUAAUACAGAGGGUGCGAGCGUUAAUCGGAUUUACUGGGCGUAAAGCGUGCGUAGGCGGCUUAUUAAGUCGGAUGUGAAAUCCCCGAGCUUAACUUGGGAAUUGCAUUCGAUACUGGUGAGCUAGAGUAUGGGAGAGGAUGGUAGAAUUCCAGGUGUAGCGGUGAAAUGCGUAGAGAUCUGGAGGAAUACCGAUGGCGAAGGCAGCCAUCUGGCCUAAUACUGACGCUGAGGUACGAAAGCAUGGGGAGCAAACAGGAUUAGAUACCCUGGUAGUCCAUGCCGUAAACGAUGUCUAC